rnacentral:miRNA from 1 species
UCCCUUCCGGUCAUCGAGACCAUUGAUGACCGGAAGGAAUCCCUUCCGGUCAUCGAGACCAUUGAUGACCGGAAGGAAUCCCUUCCGGUCAUCGAGACCAUUGAUGACCGGAAGGGA